rnacentral:misc_RNA from 1 species
UACACAUAAACACAAACAUACACGAUAUAUUUUUACUUUUAUUUAAACAAAUUCGAUAAAACAAAUAACAAUUUUUUUUAAUCUAAAAAGAAUAUGAAUAGUUAUUUAUCACAUUCACUCUUCUAAAUAUAAACUAAAGUAUUAAUUUAGAAAUUCUAAAUAUUUUUUUCUCUAAUUUCAUUUGACCUAGUGACCCUAUUCACCUCCGACCUCCUACCUUUGGCGUGUGUGCGUGUGUGUGUGUCUGUAUAUAUACUUUUAUCGUCUCAUAACCUCCCCUAUCCAUCGAUAAUAGACUCGCCCACACACUCCGCCAUCUUGUACAGUCUCCUAUCACAGAUAAGGAAAGAGUGCGUCAUAGCAACGCCACUUACACAACAAACGUUUGGGUUAGUAAAAUGUAGAGAUAAACUGCAGCGGUUAGAGAACAGUAGAAACAACUGGUCAAUUCACAUUUGACGCUUCGUACCUUACAUAUUCAUUCGAAUAAGAUUAAGAAGGUAGUGCGGACGGAUACGUAAUCAGUUAACGUGCGGCAUCCUCUCCUGUGCGGGGAGGGCAUCGGAUUUCCCAUCUAGCUAAGCUGUCGGAUAAUUAUUUCUCUUGUGUUUUAUCUUCAUCACAAUAGAUUUAUCUGACGUUUAAGGAUAUCAAUAUUUGGAGUACAGUGUUAAGUUAUCGAAACUGAAGCCGAAACAUGGGCAAUGCCGCUACGGCGAAGAAAGGAGACCCCGCCGAAAACGCAUGUACACUUGGAUCAGGCAAAAGUUUGUCAUCGGAUUGUCCUCUUUCUGCUAGCAAUGUGAAUUGCUUGAAUAUAUCUUUACAUCAAAAUCAUUGUUGCAAUUUUAGAAGUUUCUUAAUAAACCUUUGACAUCAACCAUGUUUAUUUUCCAAAGUUACAUUUUCAGGAAACAGCAAAAAAAUAAGUAUCAUCGUGAAUUGUGAAUGAACAAAUAUGGAAAAUUAUCAAGAUCAUUUGUUGAAGGUUUUUUGAUAAACAUGAUAUUUAAAGAAGCAAUUAUAAACAGAUAUUUUUUUAUUAAAAAAUCUUGAAUUAUAAAUCAGAUUUUAUGCUGAUGUACAAGUUCUUUCAAAAGAACUUUGAUAUUAACAUCAUUAUAAUGGUUUUCUUUUGAGUUACUGUUUGAUAACUAUGAAAUAUCCAGCUUCCAAUAAAGAUUUUUAUACCAAUUUAAAAAAGUCAUGUUUUAAUAAAUAUUCAAAUAGUUUCUUUUAUGUGCUGUUAAUCACCAACAAUAUUAUGUUCUUUUAGGCAUAUUUAUUAUA